UACAGAGGGGGCAAGCGUUAUUCGGAAUUAUUGGGCGUAAAGGGCGCGUAGGCGGCUUUUCAAGUGACGGGUGAAAUCCCUCGGCUUAACCGAGGAACUGCCUGUCAGACUGGAAGGCUUGAGACCGGGAGAGGUGAGUGGAAUUCCCAGUGUAGCGGUGAAAUGCGUAGAUAUUGGGAGGAACACCAGCGGCGAAGGCGGCUCACUGGACCGGAACUGACGCUGAGGCGCGAAAGCGUGGGGAGCAAACAGG
rnacentral:rRNA from 1 species